UACGUAGGGUGCAAGCGUUAAUCGGAAUUACUGGGCGUAAAGCGUGCGCAGGCGGUUUUGUAAGUCUGUCGUGAAAUCCCCGGGCUCAACCUGGGAAUUGCGAUGGAGACUGCAAGGCUAGAAUCUGGCAGAGGGGGGUAGAAUUCCACGUGUGAGCAGUGAAAAUGCGUAGAGAUGUGGGAGGAACACCGAUGGCGAAGGCAGCCCCCUGGGUCAAGAUUG
rnacentral:rRNA from 1 species